rnacentral:rRNA from 1 species
UUACACAUGCAAGUCGAGCGGAGUGAUGGUGCUUGCACUAUCACUUAGCGGCGGACGGGUGAGUAAUGCUUAGGAAUCUGCCAUUUAGUGGGGGACAACAUUCCGAAAGGAAUGCUAAUACCGCAUACGUCCUACGGGAGAAAGCAGGGGAUCUUCGGACCUUGCGCUAAAUGAUGAGCCUAAGUCGGAUUAGCUAGUUGGUGGGGUAAAGGCCUACCAAGGCGACGAUCUGUAGCGGGUCUGAGAGGAUGAUCCGCCACACUGGGACUGAGACACGGCCCAGACUCCUACGGGAGGCAGCAGUGGGGAAUAUUGGACAAUGGGCGGAAGCCUGAUCCAGCCAUGCCGCGUGUGUGAAGAAGGCCUUUUGGUUGUAAAGCACUUUAAGCGAGGAGGAGGCUACUAGUACUAAUACUACUGGAUAGUGGACGUUACUCGCAGAAUAAGCACCGGCUAACUCUGUGCCAGCAGCCGCGGUAAUACAGAGGGUGCGAGCGUUAAUCGGAUUUACUGGGCGUAAAGCGUGCGUAGGCGGCUUUUUAAGUCGGAUGUGAAAUCCCCGAGCUUAACUUGGGAAUUGCAUUCGAUACUGGGAAGCUAGAGUAUGGGAGAGGAUGGUAGAAUUCCAGGUGUAGCGGUGAAAUGCGUAGAGAUCUGGAGGAAUACCGAUGGCGAAGGCAGCCAUCUGGCCCAAUACUGACGCUGAGGUACGAAAGCAUGGGGNGCAAACNGGAUUANAUACCCUUGUAGUUCAUGCCGUAAAAGAUGUUUUAUUACCGUUGGGGCCUUUGAGGCUUUAGUGGGGCAGGUAACGGGAUAAAUAGACCGCCUGGGGAGUUCGGUUGCCAGAAUUAAAAUCAAAUGAAUUGGCGGGGGCCCGCACCAGCGGUGGAGCAUGUGGUUUAAUUUGAUGCAACGGGAAGAACCUUAACUGGUUCUGACAUAGUAAGAACUUUCCAGAGAAGGAUUGGUGCCUUUGGGAAAUUACAUUCCGGUGGUGCAAGGCUGUUGUUAGGUUGUGUUGUGAGAAGUUGGGUUAAGUUCCGCAAAGAGGGCAACCCUUUUCCUUAUUUGCCAGCCGGUUAAGCCGGGAACUUUAAGGAUACUGCCAGUGACAAACUGGAGGAAGGCGGGGACGACGUCAAGUCAUCAUGGCCCUUACGACCAGGACUACACACGUGCUACAAUGGUCGGUACAAAGGGUUGCUACCUAGCGAUAGGAUGCUAAUCUCAAAAAGCCGAUCGUAGUCCGGAUUGGAGUCUGCAACUCGACUCCAUGAAGUCGGAAUCGCUAGUAAUCGCGGAUCAGAAUGCCGCGGUGAAUACGUUCCCGGGCCUUGUACACACCGCCCGUCACACCAUGGGAGUUUGUUGCACCAGAAGUAGGUAGUCUAACCGUAAGGAGGACGCUUACCACGGUGUGGCCGAUGACUGGGGUGAAGUCGUAACAAGGUAUCCA